GACGAACGCUGGCGGCGUGCUUAACACAUGCAAGUCGAACGGAAAGGCCCUGCUUUUGUGGGGUGCUCGAGUGGCGAACGGGUGAGUAACAAGUGAGUAACCUGCCCUUGACUUUGGGAUAACUUCAGGAAACUGGGGCUAAUACCGGAUAGGAGCUCCUGCUGCAUGGUGGGGGUUGGAAAGUUUCGGCGGUUGGGGAUGGACUCGCGGCUUAUCAGCUUGUUGGUGGGGUAGUGGCUUACCAAGGCUUUGACGGGUAGCCGGCCUGAGAGGGUGACCGGCCACAUUGGGACUGGGAUACGGCCCAGACUCCUACGGGAGGCAGCAGUGGGGAAUAUUGCACAAUGGGCGGAAGCCUGAUGCAGCAACGCCGCGUGCGGGAUGACGGCCUUCGGGUUGUAAACCGCUUUCGCCUGUGACGAAGCGUGAAUGACGGUAAUGGGUAAAGAAGCACCGGCUAACUACGUG
rnacentral:rRNA from 1 species